UACGUAGGGUGCAAGCGUUAAUCGGAAUUACUGGGCGUAAAGCGUGCGCAGGCGGUUGUGCAAGACAGAUGUGAAAUCCCCGGGCUCAACCUGGGAAUUGCAUUUGUGACUGCACGGCUAGAGUGUGUCAGAGGGGGGUAGAAUUCCACGUGUAGCAGUGAAAUGCGUAGAGAUGUGGAGGAAUACCGAUGGCGAAGGCAGCCCCCUGGGGUAACACUGACGCUCAUGCACGAAAGCGUGGGGAGCAAACAGG
rnacentral:rRNA from 1 species